UAAAAGAGAGAAAGUCUCAUUCAAGAAAAAUGCAUUAUGUGGCAUCUUUUACAGAAGCCUGGUUCCUCCUUCCUUUGGCUUUAACAAAGAGUGACCGCUGUCUGUCACCUCUGAUGCUACUACAGCUAGAACCACAGAACUGCAACUGCUAGCCACGAGUCGUCCUUGCCAUUCAUCAGAAUGUUAGAAUUAAAACCAGAAGAAGGCUUAUUGAUGGAACUGUAGCAAAGUGGGUGUUACAUGAAGUCAGAAGGCCCACAGCAGCAGGAGCAGCAGCAGCAGCAGCAGGAGCAGCAGCAGCAGCAGCAGCAGCAGCAGCAGCAGCAGCAGCAGCAGCUCUGGGUGAGCUUCCCUCUGUGUCCUUUGACCUCCUGUUUUCAGAAGCCUGUAACUUCAAGCUGACUGCCUGCUCUGACACACCCCAGCUGCUCUUUACUAACAAGGACACACCUUGGAAAAGCAUUCCGGAUGCUAGAUCACUUUUUCCGUGUUAUAAAAUCUAAUCAUGGAGUUAUGAUGUGCUUUUCUGUUUGUUUGUUUAAGCAAUUAAAUGAAGCUGUAGUGAAUGAAGAACAAUUCCUUGUUUAUCCUCAAGAGGGGCAGCUGAAGAAAAUGGAAAGAAACAGCUAAAAACAUUCAAAUAUAAACUAUGCUUUGCCAAAUAGCUCAUUCAUUUACAAAAUGUAACUUGCAAAGAGAUUUUUUAUCUGGUUGGGUGUAGAAACAACUCCGUUGGUAAUGUACUUGCCAUGCAUCCUGAGUUUGAUACCCAGUACCCAAUUACCCACACAAGAAGCCUGGUGGCAUGUGCUUAUAACCCCAGCUCUAGAUAGGGAAGUAUAGGAGGUAGACCCUUGCGAAUCCCAAAUGUUAACCAGCCUAGCCUG
rnacentral:lncRNA from 1 species